CUGAACACAAACCUCGCUGAACCUUUCCUGAGUGCGGAGCCCUGAGAAUCCAGUGGCACUCUUAACUUCACAGAGGAGGGGACUUUGAGAUGGAUUUUGAAAGCGGAGUUCACCAAGCAGAGACGUUGGGAUUCAUCAGUGAAGAGGAGCUUGGGCAGGUAUAACAGAUGGCGGGGCCAAGGAUCCCAACUUGCUUUCCAGGGUGUUGGUGAGAUUCCAGUGAGACGCUGGAAGGGCAAGUUUUCAUCACCAAUCAAGGGCCUGCAGAUCCAGGACUGACACUGCUCGUGGACAUGCUUACCUCAGAAAGCUGACAAGUUGAAGCUGCCAAAAUUUCACCUGCCCCAGUGGUUGGAGCAUACAAUUAAAUGGCUGAUUUGAUAUGCAUACACUUCAUUCAAUGGAAUAAAUCUGUCGGUUUUGAUUUUGCCUCAGUCUCUAGUGAUAUAUAUAUUUUAACAUUUUCCUGAGCCACCGUUUGCCUGUGCUCCUAAAAGAAGAGAAAAAGGCCUCCAGUUAGAGGCCAUCAACAAAAAUGCUGAAUGGGUCAUCGUAUUUCCUAAAAGUCAAGAACAAAGAAGACCCAGACAAGGCUUCUGAGAACUAUGGAGACGUAUCCAGAUGCCACACUGAAAAUACAAUUCCACCACCCAUCCAUUAUUUGCUCAGGCAUAUAACAAGACAUCUCUUUUCACUGGUUUCUCUUCUGCCACCUGUUAAAUUAGAAAAACAACUAGUCUUAUAAAUGAAUAAAGGUGCUUAUUAUAGAUACAUACCACUUCCCAAGCAAAGAAAAUCAGGCCUUAGAAGAAAGUAUAAGGGAAGGUAGAUGUAUUAACUAUGUAGAUCAUGCUUAUUUGCCUCUUGAGAGAUGGCUUCUCUCCUCAAAUUCAAUGGAGCUGUAAUUUGAAAAAUCAGGCCUGUAGGCACUUUUAGGAUAUAAUGACAUUUGCACACAUGAUCACAUGCUUCAGGGAAAAAAAUGAAAUCAGGAGGACACACUGGUAAGCUGUGGGCUUAUUGUGGGCACCACAGCAUACAAAGUCACUAUAUGAAUUCCCAGAUUAGGACACAGUUUGAUGGUUUUCUUGGUUCUCUUAAGAGCUUGGUGGAAAUUAAGUCUGUUUUACAUAAGGUAACCUCAAGUCCCCUGGCUGCUAAAAUGAUAUAAUGGUUUGCUCUGAAAUUAGCUACUAAAGUAACACAAUUCUUGCUAUCUGAGUAUAAAAGCAGAAGGCAGAAAUUCAUUCUUACAGAGUAAGAACUCAUUUUUUGCCAUAGAGUAAAACAUUCCAACCCUCCAAAGUCAGUCUAGGGAUUUGGGUUUCAUUUUUUCCUUUAAAAAGACAUUUUUCCCCUGGAUAUUCGGAAGAAUGUAAACAAAAGCCACAGAAAACACAAGUUAGGGCACUGAAGUAUAGCGUAGCACUCUCUUAUGGGAAAAAUGCCAGUGUGCUGUGGCAGAAGGCAGAUGAACACUGUCUCUUCUCCCGCUCCCCACUUCAAACCAGAGUCUCAUGUAGUUUCCCUACCCAGAAAGGAAGAGAAAACAAAUAAUAGCCAUUGUGACAACAAAGACGUGAGAUUUCAUAAAAUAGAUUACUUUUGGUGGAACAAAUACCUGACACCUUUCAACCUCAAAUAGUACAGUCUGAGACGCCACAGUCCAGGUUUCAAUCUUAACGCUAUGAAAUUCUGGAGUUAGUUUUAUUUCAUUCCAAAACUUGGAGUCUUAAGAUGCUUUAAGAACACUAAUUGUGGUGGACAUUUUAUUGGGUAAUUAUAUUUAUCAUGAUCUCCUCCACCUUGUCUCUGCUCCUCUGUCCCAUUUUGUAGCACUCCAAUCUUGUGACUUCCAAUUAGGUGACAAGAAGUGUCUAAAUUCUUAUCUGUGGUAUUUCAUCAUAAAUUUUGUAUAAGACUAUUAUAUGAACUGACAACAGCUAUGGGCCUGGAGACAAAAGGAUUAAGACACACUAAAA
rnacentral:lncRNA from 1 species